UGAUAGCUUAGUUGGUAGAGCAUUCGAUUCUUAAUCUCGUGGCUGUGAGUUUGAGCUCCACAUUGGAUAAAAA